GGAAUAUUGGGCAAUGGGCGCAAGCCUGACCCAGCGACGCCGCGUGAGGGAUGAAGGCCUUCGGGUUGUAAACCUCUUUCAGUAGGGAAGAGGCGAAAGUGACGGUACCUAAAGAAGAAGCACCGGCUAACUAUGUGCCAGCAGCCGCGGUAAUACAUAGGGUGCAAGCGUUGUCCGGAAUUAUUGGGCGUAAAGAGCUCGUAGGUCGUUUGCCGCGUCGAUUGUGAAAAUCUGAGGCUCAACCUCAGACCUGCAGUCGAUACGGGCAAACUAGAGUGUGGUAGGGGAGACUGGAAUUCCUGGUGUAGCGGUGGAAUGCGCAGAUAUCAGGAGGAACACCAAUGGCGAAGGCAGGUCUCUGGGCCAUAACUGACACUGAGGAGCGAAAGCGCGGGGAGCGAACAGGAUUAGAUACCCUGGUAGUCCGCGCCGUAAACGAUGGGCACUAGCUGUGAGAGCCUUCCACGGUUCUCGCGACGCAGCAAACGCAUUAAGUGCCCCGCCUGGGGAGUACGAUCGCAAGAUUAAAACUCAAAGGAAUUGACGG
rnacentral:rRNA from 1 species